rnacentral:lncRNA from 1 species
CCUUGGGUGUCUUUUCAUGACUCGUUGUCCCUCUCACAGUCUUAUUGGUCAAAAUCAAUCCUUGUUCCCUAUAAAUAGGAACCCCCUCCCCAUUAUAACAUUAUUUGAUAUUUUUGCAUCUCUAUCAUUAAGCAACAAAAAUAUUUAUCUUUGAUCUUUAGUCUUCUCUACUUCCUUAGCCUGGUUGAUCUAUUUUUGCCUACAACACCCAUUAUCUUAUUAGUGAUCUACCAACUACGAUCACGAUU